GACUUAGAAAAAUGUAUCUUAGGAAUCUGGUUACUGGUUUCAAAAUAGAGAAUAAAAUGUUGGAAAUUCUAAAAAAAAACUAGUUAACUGACGAACUUUUCCUGUGGAAUAAUAUAGCAACUUGUCAUCCAGAAUAUAUUCAGAAAGAUUAAAAAAAUUGCCAUGAAUUCAGCCCAGCUACUCCUCUGUGACAUCUCAUCACAAUGCAGUCCAGAUGCGAUAACGGGGUUACCCUGGACAGGACAUGCUGCUCGCUGCGUGCAUAGCUGAUGGUUUAUCGAGGUUAUCGAGUCAUCAUCAUUGCCCGCAAGCUACCACCGUAGUUAGCCAUGACGCCUUUUGCAUGCGAAAAGAGAUUCUUUUCCUUGGAUGGGGCUGGCUACUAUGAUCGUCCCCCUGCCCGAUUCAGGCAUUGGUAUUGGUAGUCCUGCAAAAUCCGACUGUCGUAGUGCGACGAAAUCGACCUGUUGCGGAGUUUUCUUCGCACAUGUUCGCCACGGCUGCUGUUCCUCCGCGCAAGUUCAUGUCGUCGCCGUUCUUCUGCCUUCUCGAUUCCACAGUACGUUUAUUCCAGCGAGGAACGGGCACAAUAAUUGAAACCAUAUUUUAUUGACUAAUUGACAGUUGAAUAAUCGUUAUCACCAGCUCGUGCACUUGUAACCGUUGCCCGCCAAUUGACGUCUUAUCGCAUCGGGAUCAGGUGUUGUUGUCUAACACCCUCCGAAGUGGGUCUUUUGAAACCACCAAUUGCCGUCCUUCCCGAAAGUGUGAGCAACGUACGAGUGGGGCACACAAGUGGGGAGCAGAAGCCAGGUCAGGCCAUUGAGUGUGCCGAUAGAAAAUAAUAACGCUAAUCAAAUAAGAGAUAGCAUCUCCUUCGGUACCGCAAGUAUUGUUUACUACUGAAGGUUGCUCAAUAGCUGUGCUUGACUUAGGAAUCGACCGAGCAAACCGGCGAACGGCGGCACUGCACACAUGCACACAAAGGCCAGUAAAGUAACUACUUCAGCCGUGCCCCAAGCCCCAACCUCCCAUCCCACCCAUCAGAACCACUCAAGGCCCCAAGCUGCGACCUUCCCAGAACUUGCCUGGCUCUGGGUUUCGCUGUAGUGGUGCCGAUUUUUCGCAUUGCAGGUGCGUAUCAGCCAAUGGGGAACCGGGAUUCGCUGCCACCACUACAGUCCCCAAGCCGGGAUCCGGCUAUCCGUACACGGCGCCAAGUCUCCCCCGACGACACGCAGACAACCAAUCAUCCCCAUCAUCGAUCCAAGUAAGCCAAGUAGCGAGCGAUGCCGUGCCGCAGCAGCUCAGUUCGCUCUGCCAAGUCAACACAUGGCAUGCUACGACGACGGAGGUGAUGGUUGUUAACUGCCGCCGCUGCCGUGCGGAUGUUUUCUACCGAGACGCGCGGCCCAACUGCGAUGCGAUGGUGCCAACCAUCUAGCAGCUAGUUAGCGUCAUGCGGGCGGUAGCCCCAAAAUGAUGCCCCGAAAUGAUGAUGUGUCCGCUACUCUGGUCCAGACAGGCAUACCGCACCGAAUUUGGGAGAGUUGGAGAAGAUUUUUCAGUCGAGCUGAGUCAAACGUGGACUUGCGGUGGUGGUUGUACUGUUGGGGAGCAGACUUGGGGGAACGUUAGCACCAAUACCAAUCGAGCUGGAAAUUCUGGUCCGUCGGAGAGAAGAGAGAGAGAGCCGAGCCACCCGCUUGUGAUGGUGCGGUGGGUGAUGUCGAUCGACCGACGACGGACGAAACCUGAACCGGCUACAAUGUAAUUAUUUACAUUAUUAUUCUCGGAUUCGCAGUCAGCCACCUACCUACCUACCAUCACAUGGGAAGAGGCAGCCAGCGGCACAACGAACGUGGUGGUCGGGUAGGGUUAGGAAUUUGUCCCACCACGUUCAUGUUUUCACCCACUUUGACAAGGCGCGCGAGGGAGCUGCCGUUCGCUCGCUUGCUUGGUAGAAACACAAGAAAAGAAGCUUCCAAGCGCGUCUGCCGUAUUCUUCGGUUGGGUUGAGGUUUCCUCAGGAAUGCGACACGACACAAGAAGAAUAUUAUGGGCGUUGGGACGGCUCAUGUGGACAGUUUAUGGUAACGGGAGAAACUCUUUGCAGGGUGUUCCUCUGAUGCAAGGUGAAUGCGACGUCCUAGCUCGAAGACGUGACUGAUUGGAAUGACGAUUUUGAAAACAAAAUGUUCGAUGUAUUAUAAUACAGUGUGUUUAAAGACUAACUCGAUUUUCAA